rnacentral:rRNA from 1 species
AUUGAACGCUGGCGGCAGGCCUAACACAUGCAAGUCGAGCGAGCGGCGGACGGGUGAGUAAUGUCUGGGAAACUGCCUGAUGGAGGGGGAUAACUACUGGAAACGGUAGCUAAUACCGCAUACCAUCAGAUGUGCCCAGAUGGGAUUAGCUAGUAGGUGGGGUAACGGCUCACCUAGGCGACGAUCCCUAGCUGGUCUGAGAGGAUGACCAGCCACACCGGAAAUGAGAAACGGUCCAGACUCCUAAGGGAGGCAGGAGGGGGGAAUAUUGCAACAUGGGGGCAAGGCUGAAGCAGCCAUGCCGCGGGUGUGAAAAAGGCCUUCGGGUUGUAAAGGACUUUCAGCGGGGAGGCGUUACCCGCAGAAGAAGCACCGGCUAACUCCGUGCCAGCAGCCGCGGUAAUUC